rnacentral:rRNA from 1 species
AGCGAACGCUGGCGGCAGGCUUAACACAUGCAAGUCGAACGGGCAUCUUCGGAUGUCAGUGGCAGACGGGUGAGUAACACGUGGGAACGUACCCUUCGGUUCGGAAUAACUCAGGGAAACUUGAGCUAAUACCGGAUACGCCCUUUUGGGGAAAGGUUUACUGCCGAAGGAUCGGCCCGCGUCUGAUUAGCUUGUUGGUGGGGUAACGGCCUACCAAGGCGACGAUCAGUAGCUGGUCUGAGAGGAUGAUCAGCCACACUGGGACUGAGACACGGCCCAGACUCCUACGGGAGGCAGCAGUGGGGAAUAUUGGACAAUGGGCGCAAGCCUGAUCCAGCCAUGCCGCGUGAGUGAUGAAGGCCUUAGGGUUGUAAAGCUCUUUUGUCCGGGACGAUAAUGACGGUACCGGAAGAAUAAGCCCCGGCUAACUUCG